rnacentral:rRNA from 1 species
AGAGCGAACGCUGGCGGCAGGCUUAACACAUGCAAGUCGAGCGGGCACUUCGGUGUCAGCGGCAGACGGGUGAGUAACGCGUGGGAACAUACCUUUUGGUUCGGAACAACACAGGGAAACUUGUGCUAAUACCGGAUAAGCCCUUACGGGGAAAGAUUUAUCGCCGAAAGAUUGGCCCGCGUCUGAUUAGCUUGUUGGUGAGGUAACGGCUCACCAAGGCGACGAUCAGUAGCUGGUCUGAGAGGAUGAUCAGCCACAUUGGGACUGAGACACGGCCCAAACUCCUACGGGAGGCAGCAGUGGGGAAUAUUGGACAAUGGGGGCAACCCUGAUCCAGCCAUGCCGCGUGAGUGAUGAAGGCCCUAGGGGUUGUAAAGCUCUUUUAACGGGGAAGAUAAAUGACGGUACCCGUAGAAUAAGCCCCGGCUAACUUCGUAGCCAGCAGCCGC